rnacentral:rRNA from 1 species
UACGAGGGGGGCGAGCGUUGUUCGGAAUUAUUGGGCGUAAAGGGUGCGUAGGCGGUUUGGUAAGUCUGAUGUGAAAUCUAUGGGCUCAACUCAUAGUCUGCAUCGGAAACUGCCGGGCUUGAGUGUGGGAGAGGUGAGUGGAAUUCCGAGUGUAGAGGUGAAAUUCGUAGAUAUUCGGAAGAACACCAGUGGCGAAGGCGACUUACUGGACACAUAUUGACGCUGAGGUGCGAAAGCGUGGGGAGCAAACAGG